GGAUUAGAUACCCUGGUAGUCCACGCCGUAAACGAUGAGAACUAGACGUUGGGGAGCUUGCUCCUUAGUGUCGUAGCUAACGCGAUAAGUUCUCCGCCUGGGGAGUACGGCCGCAAGGCUAAAACUCAAAGGAAUUGACGGGGGCCCGCACAAGCGGUGGAGCAUGUGGUUUAAUUCGAUGCAACGCGAAGAACCUUACCUACUCUUGACAUCCUCGGAACUUUCAAGCAAUUGAUUGGUGCCUUCGGGAACCGAGUGACAGGUGCUGCAUGGCUGUCGUCAGCUCGUGUUG
rnacentral:rRNA from 1 species